CACCCACUUUCAACUAACUAAAUGCAUUAAAGUUUGACAAAAGAAGAACUCAUCAUUUUGACAUUGCUUACACAUCCGUUAUAGCAUAUCUGGUCAACCAGCCAUAAAAUCAGCAGGUUAUCUGUUCAGACAGCUGUACAGUUUAUCAGCAACUGCCAACGUUUGCUUAGCAGACUGAUACAUCUCCACUCCUUCAUAUUUUAGCUGUAAAUGAAUAAACAAGUGCUUGAGUCUGUUGUUCUUUGCCUCUUAAUGUCCUCAAUGUUUAACCAGUUGUCUAUUGCUGCUACUUUCUUUCAUUUAUCAGUAAAUCAUUAUUCCUCUUUGUUGUCAUCUUCCCACCCCCUCGCCCCCUCCUCCUUCUUCUCUGAGUUUCUCUCCAACCACAGACAAGGAAACUGUGUGUAUUUUGGAAUGUCAGGCUGUUCGUAUGCGUUUCAGAAGUUGUGGGUGUCUCAUUAUGGUCACCACUGUCUUGUUCAGAGUGCAUUGUCAUCACAAACAGGAAGUGGAAACGUGGUGUUUGCAUCAACGUUGGGGAAUCCUCAGUGUGGUCGCAGACACGCAGCUUUGUGCGUUCUGCACUGUUUGUUUGGCUGCUGCCUCUCACAGUGCUGAGAAGAAAAAUUGUGUGUCUGUCUCAGCCCCCCAGUGUGUGUGUGUGUGUGUGUGUGUGUGUGUGUGUGUGUGUGUGUGUGUGUGUGUGUGUGUGUGUAGACUAGCCAUGCUGGAGAGCUCAGACACAUGGUUUCCUGUCUGUGUUUAACUCAAAUCAGAAACAUCUCCAGCACAUGGUGAACAGGCCCCAUAGACACAGAACACCUCUGAAGUGAGGUAUGAGAGUGACGUAGACUCAGUCUGCUGCUAUUAUUAAAGCAGAUAAGAUUCAUCUUGUUGCCGCCCAACUGAACAAACUGUAACUUUUAUCUGCUGUACAUAAAUACUGCAAAUAGUGUGGGAGGCUGAAGGGUGGCCAAGAAACAGACUUUCCUUCAACUGAAUGAGCUGUUUUCAGGCCUCUGGUUGGAAAACAUUCACCCUGCUGAAAUGUCCUUAAGCAAGACCCUGUGACCUUUAUGAAGCUCAUAAUGUUGACAUUGUCGGAAAUGUGUAAAUUCAACUAUAUUAUUAUAGUUAUUAUUGAGGUCAUACUUAACGGUGGUGUUGAACUGGACUACAAUAUAGUGAAAGGUGUUUCCCAUUUUUUGUCCUUCCUAUUCAAAUGAGGGGGCAGAAUAUUAGAAAUGCCUCUCAAUAUAAUGCAGUCCAGUACAACACCAUCACUAUGACCUCACUGCCAUUUAACAGAUUUCCGACAAUGUCACCCAAAACUGAACAUUAUGAGCUUCGUAAAGAUAGAUGUUAUGGCAUGAUGUAUUGGAUCGCAUUAGAUUGUACAGGUGUACCUAAUGAAGUGGCCACUGAGUGUAUAGCAGAUUACUUCCUGGCCCAUGCCUGGUUCUAGACCCCUGAAUCACUACCCACAUCUAUGAUUUGUUCAGAGAGUUGCAUAGGUCUGGUGUUGUGCCCAUUGAUGGCUGUUGGAGAAGCAGUCAACCAAUCAGAGCUUUUGUAGUGAUUAUAAAAUGACAAAAAGCAAGGAUGGAAUUAACACAGUUUAUCAGGUUUUUGGAAGUCAAUUUACAGAAAUAGCCACUCUUGUAUCAGCAUAUUUCUUUAAUCGUCAAUCCUUAGAUAAUAUUGUACUUAAAUGGUGCAAAUUCACUUAGUUUCAAUUAGUAAUUUAAAAAAUGACCACCAAUUAACACAUGAUAAACCUGGGCUGGGUUUCUGUGUAAGAAUUUGUUUUAUUUUUUUUGUAAUUGUCCUGAGUGCCUGUCAGGUUUUCCAUAUAAUAAUGAUAUUAAUUUGUAUAUGAAGUAAGAUCAAGCAUUUUCUUUUUUAUACCUGGGCUCCUGGAGGUUUGCCUGGUUGGAAAUCUAGCUUGUACUACCCCAAUACAAUGGACAUUAAAGGAAUUCCAUUUGUGGUGCUCAUAGCAUUGAAAAAUUCCAUUUUUCAGCAGCAGUAGUGUGUACAGAACUCACACAGCUGCAUGUAUGUGAACAGUUUUUAUUAAAAGUACUUUCUCCCCAAAAAAUAGUCCCUAUGAAAACUGCUGACAGUGUAUUCUACGGGUUAUUCAGAGAAACAGGGACGCUAUUUCUGGAACGAGCUGUGGGUUUUGAACAUUUUAAAUGUAAUUUUUCAAUGCUAUGAGCUUGACAAAUGAAAUCCCAGUCAUUGUAUUUCGAUAACUCAAAACCUAGACAGGCAAAAUCAAAACUAUCAUGCCUACAUACCACCAGAGGUAUUUGGGUGAACUGAUCUUUCAGCUUUUAAUUUAUACAAAUCACAAAUGCAUGUUCACAGUGAAAUAGCUCUUCAUUACUAACUUUAAGAGAAAACUACAUGAAUUAGCUUAACACUGACACAUCAAAAGUGGCACCCUUGCUCCCUAUACCGCCCUUUAUAAUUGACAUGUCCUUUAAUUUGAGAUCCUCCCUUGCUUUCCUGACUUGCUUGUGGUGAUGUCUCAGAGUAAUGAAUGCAGCCACCAAAUACACCAAAGAAUCUAUGUGCUACAGUUAUUUGAGUGGAUCGGCAGGGGAGACAAUGUUCCUGCGGCACUAAAAGCUCUCUCUGAUGACGUGCUUGUUGCACAAAUGCACAUGUAAUUGCCAGCGACUUUAGAGAGCAGGGGAAAUCUACCCUGGUUGUCGCGCCACCAGGUGAGUGGAUCUGCGUUGGUGUCUAGGGGCUCCUCCCGUAGGGAUGAGUUUAGUUCUCUGAGGUAUGUUGUCCGUGACUUCAGCAGAGACUUCUUUUUUGCUGUGGUGGCAUUGCGUCAGUCCUGCAUUCACUGCACACAUUUAGUAAACAAGCUGGAAUUCAGAUUUCCUGCACAGUAAGUGAGCGGGUACCCUUCUUCUGUUCAAACCUUUAAUGAAACUGUAUUCCAGUCAGCUGAUGCUGCUCUCUGAUCUUCCUGUUAUUGCUCCCUACAGUGAUCAAUAAGCAUGAGACAACCCCACUCUGGAUAAUACCAGUAUAAAGAUGUACUGUAACAGGGACGCCUGAGCACUUCACACUAAAUUUGGCAAGUUCAGUAGCUGUAUCACGGAUGUGUACAGUAGUUUGUGUAAAUCAUAAUCUAUCUUUGUGUCUGUCAGUCUGUAUCUCUCACUGAAACACACACAUAUACACACAGAGCCCUGAGGGUAAGGGCUGUGGUUCCUUCCUCUCAGUGAGGACACAUGCAGCAGGAAGUUCUUGUUUGUUUAUUGGACCGCUGCCAUGACUUAUUCCUCUUCAAAUGCCUCACAUUGUUCUUCCCCAGCAUUACAUUCUUAUGACGUGCCUGUAAUAGUGUUUGUGCAUGUGGUUUAUGUCUUGAGAGUCAUACUGGAUUCUCGUGUGUGUGUGUGUGUGUGUGUGUGUGUGUGUGUGUGUGUGUGUGUGUGUGUGUGUGUGUGUGUGUGUGUGUGUGUGUGUGUGUUUUGUGCAUCCAAGCAUGUGCUACAAAUGUCACCAUGAGGGAGAGAACAUUGUGAUCCCACAGCUGCAAACACUAACAGGGCUUGUUGGUAUUGAUGGACAGCUCAGUGGAAGCCCAUCAGAAAUGAAUCCGAUUGGGAGAUGUGUUCUGCGGUUUGGCCUUAGAUGGUAGCUGUGACAAUAUGUUGAGAUUUAAAGCUGCAUUAAUCAAUAUUUUUAUAUUAAAAAUUGAUUCAAAUGACUAUGUGCACUGUUAAAGAUGUCGUAGUGACGAAGCCGUAGAACAGUAUCCCAGGCUAACUGUGCAGUUCCCUUCUAUAAAGUGUUUUAGCAUCUUUCAGCUCAUUGUUUUGGUUUUACAGCCCACAUCUUUACUGUUUCGGUUCACUCUCAGCGCUCUCAUCAACCUUGUUUCCAGCAGCAGCAGGCAGCUGUCAGUGAAAAUUUGGUGGGUUUAAACAGGUGCUCACAUCUAUACUGAGUGACUCUACAAAAUCUGAUGGAAAGUCACCAUUAGGCAGAGCUACAGCAACAUCGUAAAUUUAAAUUCUAACUAAAGAUUUAUUAAGUCAAUUUUAGGUAUUCUUCAAAAAUCAUAUCUGUUGCAGCAAAUCGGCAUCAUUGUCUAUCAGUAUGUGUAUUUUGAUAUAGAUUGGACCCAUUCAAAUCAAUUCAAUUCAGUUUUAUUUAUAUAGCGCCAAUUCCUAACAGAAGUUAUCUCAUUGCACUUUUCCUAUAGAGCAGCCCGAACUCUUUAUAAUAUUAAUUACAGAGACCCAACAAAGGGAGGGAGGCACAAUGCAAAGACCACGUAGAAUUUUUUUUUUUUGUGCAAAAAUGCAUGUGUCCAAGUGCAAAUUAUAAUAUUCUAAACAUUUUUUAUUAUUAGAAUAAACUAUUUUGAUGACUGUGUGUCCUUGGUGUAGGUAUGCACUCUCUCAAUGUAUUGCACUUUCUUUUUAAUUUGGCAUUUCAGUGUGGACAGUAGGUUUUUUAAGUUAAAUCCCAUUCGACGCAUUUUCAAAUCUAACCACAUUGGUGUGGACGGUGGUUUUACUACUUUAGAAUUUUGACUUCUGCACUUUCCCAAUCAUUGUGCCAAGAACAUAAAAACUGAUCCGAGAUCAUCCCUCCCACUCUGAGAGACCUGGACCUCUGUGAUACAGCGUUUGUUUCUAAUUAAGAUCCUGUAAAGAUGAUUUGGAGCAGACUGACGCCGCCUCUCAGCCAGUGUCAGUUACACAUGUAUUUUGGAGCUUGUGAACUAGUUUCAGUGGGAGGGGAGGCAUUGAUAGUAAAUACUGCCUUGUCAUAGUAACAUACUAUUUGUUUUAGUGCUGUAUUUAAAGCUGUGUUCUUGUGAAAGUCAGUUUUACAUGGUUGGAGGCACGCUAUGUGAGGAAUGAGAUGAAGGGACAGUCUGUGUUUUUGCACAGAUGUCGCCUGAUCUCCUCCAAGUCAUUUCAUGGGUUAUUUUGGCAACCCUCAUGAUGAAUGAAAUCUUCCUCAUGACAUGAAGUGGGGUGUUUCUAUUUUGAUGAUAAAGAAGAAGAACGAGAGAUAAAAAUAAGAAAAGGGAAAAAUUCAUUUGAAUGACUUCUUGAUACAGCUGGAAAAAAGGAAGAGGAGAAGAAGACGGAUAAAGGAAAAAGUGGCUCUGUCCAUGUUCCAAGAUCUGUUUUUUUAUUCUCAUUUUUACAGUUCCUUCUUAACUGUGGAAUCUUGGCUUGCCGUCAGUGAGUACAUCAGUCAUUCAGUCACACAGCAGACUGCUUCAUAGAGAAAUGACUCAAGCAGGCCAACUCUAAGAUGCAUAACUAGGAGGGAAAGACGGGCAGUGUGAGGCAAAAAGAAUGGUGACCAGGACAGAGAAGACUGAGAUGGGAUGUGGAAGUAGAUGAAGAGACUGAAACAGAGCGACAGAGAGAUGUAGGAAGGAGGCGAUGAGAGCUGGAGAGCUAUGAGCCAUGUUAAAACAGUCUGGAUUGUAAAGGCAGUGCUGUUAUCAUAACAAGUAAAUAGUCAUAUUCACUUUUAGUCAGUGUCACACUGUGGCUGGAUACCAGCCUAGAUAAAGGCAGGAUAUUUAUAUACAUUUAGUAGGGUUAAAACUUUUUUUAUAUGAUGUUCAUGUAGUGAAAUGAAACCCACACAUAAUGAAAACAUAACUUCAAGAAACUUAGGAACCUUUUUGUGCACUGUGCAAAGAUGAAUUGGAGUAGAACCAACAGCAAAUAUUUAAUGAAGUUACAAAACCCUACACAAACAGAUUAUAUGAGUUAUAUUAAAGAUGCAUUCAUUUAUUUUUUUGGCCAAAAAAACUUUAUAUGGUUGCUAUGGUUAACAAACAGUUACCUAUUUACACAUCCGACAUAGCAUUGUGCAAACUCGUUUGGCAAGGGCCAAAUGUUGAAUGUAACAGACUUUUAUAUAUUUACAUUCAUAUGUAAAAGCCCACACUCUAGCUUUAAGAUAAUUUAAACCUGAAAAUCAACGUAAUUUUGUGUCAGUAUCCUAAAGAAGACAGAAUAAGGAAAUCUGCUGACCAUGAAACCAUGAAAAUUAACUUAAAUUUCAAAACACUUUGAUUUGUAUUAGAAACAAGUUGAAAUUGUCCUACUUCCACUUAUUUCAAGAAAAUGUAAUUCUUAGGAUUCAGUAAUCGACAGAGAUUACUUGAUAAGAUUACAUUCUUGAUUUCUCACCAUCGCAGUCACUAUGUUCCGAUUUUCUGUACCAACAAAGAAAGCUGGAUGAGGUGUUUACAUGCCACAGUAUCCUGGUUUCGAUUGGAGUUUUCCCGGUAGUAUAUCCAGGUAUCUCAAAAAAGAAAGAAAAGAAGAAGAAAAUGUUUUUCUGAAAAUGUUAGAACUGGGAUACUCUAAAAAGCAAAUCAAACCCGAUUCAGUUUUAUGCAUUUCAUGAUUGACUUUAUGAGAAAUAAAGAGCCACAAGGUCGGUCGUAGAGCUACUAUAGCAGCUUCUUAUCAGCACAUAGCUGCUGUUUCUAAACAUCAUCAUAAAGCUAUCAACUGCUAGACAUGACAUCAUCCUUCACCUGUUAGCCCUUAUCGGGAUCAUUCCAAUGUUCCCCAGAUUUAUAUAGCAUAUAAUGGGAACACGACAAAGGAUCGUAUGUUCCCCAGUUCUAGGUUAGGGUUAGGGGGUUAGGGAACUUAGGGAACAUAGAUACGCUCCCCCAUUAUCAUCUCUAUACCCCAGUCAAAACAGCGGAUCAUUAUAUUUUCAGAGUUGCAAGUAGAAUUUACCACACUAAUCAGAAUAUGCACAAAUCUGAAUCUGAUUGAUCUACAACUUUUAUUUAUCCAUGAUGUGACCAAGGAAAAAUAUCACAUCAUAAAGUAACCACUGGCUUUGAAUGGAAAUGCUGAUCAAGUCAACAUGAAUAAUUAUAUUUAAAGCCUCAUUAGAAGUAUUUUGCUGGCACGGAGGACAAACUGGCACAGUGAAGGCCUGUUGGAAGUGUGCUUCAGCCUCCUCAGUGUUUAUAAUUGCUUCCAUCUAUCCACCCAUCACCUGUUUCGAACAUGAAAUCAUGUCUGGCUCUGUCAUUUUCCAUGGAAAGUAGUUCUUUUUUAAUAUCCAACUCACAACUUUGUUAUUCACCAAACAUUGUGAGGAUCCAAGUAAUUAACAACUGGUUAGAGCAUUAAGAGCGUGAGUCAGAGAUGGCAGUGUUUGAAAUCUCAACACACACACACACACACACACACACACACACACACACACACACACACAGAUGACAUGUGUAAUUGCAAGAUGGAGUUGAGGAUCCCUCUAUUAGUCCGAAUGAUGUGUCAAACCUCAUUGCACAACACUGCAUGAGAACACUGGCAUCCUGAUCGGAAUAAGGCAACAUGAGUCCUAUUACCAGUUUGCUUUGGCACCGUCUGAUUGGUUGUGUCUCUGCCUCAAAUGCACACACUGGCACACUCUAAUCAUGGCAGAAUGACAGCAAGGAAAUAAACCUAAAACCUCAAAAACCUCCAAGCAAUCUUAAAACCCUUAAAACAUACACACAUGUACAGACACAUGGAAUUUGAGAAGAAGUGUCUGACUGUCUGGCAGUCUUAGUUCACAACUCACUUUACUACCAGACUUUUGAAGUUGUCUCAAAUC